rnacentral:tRNA from 1 species
GCUGGCGUGGCUCAACGGAAGAGCAGCGCAUUCGUAAUGCGCAGGUUCGGGGUUCGACUCCCCGCGCCAGCU